rnacentral:lncRNA from 1 species
CUCCACAUCCCAAAAUACUUUUUCUUUAAUCACAUUAGUUUCCUUCCUCCUUGGAUUGUCGACAGUCUUCUGCCAUGUGCAAUCUACGUCCACAAUUAUGGCACCUAUAUGAAAUCGUUUCAGUUGAUACAUUGAUAUAUUGAUGCCUUCUAUCGGAUCCCAUCGUCUAAUGAAUCUUCUACAAAAAAUUUCUUCGGUUGUCUUGACCCAAGCCACCCAUGAAAAUUACCAUACUAUCUAUUUUUCACAUUAACCGUUGGAGUUAUUCAUGUUGGUAUUACACCAAAUUUCCGAGGCAUUAGUCGCAGAACUAAAGGAAUUUAGGUUCUUGACGUUAGUAAAAUACAGGAAACUGAGUUGGAGGUUGUGGGGGCACAAAUUAGAUAUCUUGGUGGCCUAAGAUUGCUACUGACCUUCGACUAUAAGGAAGGUAUGCAUGAAUUCUUUAGAGACGGGAAAGAAGGACGAGAGCAAUGGGUUGAAAUACUACAACUAUGGAAUGGCCAAAAACUUCCAUUCCAAAGGAUUGCCUUGCUUCACAUUAGGAGGGAUUCCGUUACAGUUAUGAAGUAAGGAGGUCUUCAAUGUGAUCGGAAGCAAGUUAGGUAGGGUGGUCAGAAAUUCCUAUGCAGACAUGUUGGACCUAAACAUUCACUUUGAUUUAGUGGGUGUCCUCAUUAAUCAUGGUGAGAGGAUAAACGAUCAAGUUUGGUUGAGGUGGGAAGGAUCAGAAUUUGAAACUUGGGUCACGAAGUAUAAUGAUUCAUGGUUGCCAGGUUUUCUAAACAAUAGCCCAGACACGGUAGGGGAGAUGGCCAGAGAGGAAAUAAGUAGUCUUGAAACGAAGGGAGGAGAUGAGGAAGCUAUGAACAUCGAUGUGCCAGAGAUACCACAAAAAUUGAAAAGGCAGGGGGUGAUAGUGCGAAGGAAGACGGCGUAAGGGAUGCUGAUACUCCGACAAAACUGGGAUUCCGGCAGAAGGCACCGAACACUAGAGUUUGGGAAACCAAGAGACACCGCUAAUAAUUAUGGGUCGAUGGGAUACUGAUGGAUGGGUUUAGGAAUGUGAUUUAUAUGUGUUUAAUG